ACAUCAAAGAUCGCGAAUGGCAAAUGGAUAAAGCGCGUAUCAUGAAGAACGCCAAUCGUUAAACACUGGAUUUCGAUACGCUUUUUUGCUAGUAUUUGAAGUUCUGGGGCUGAUUCUGGAUUCGACGGGAUUGUGAAGCCUUAGGAGCAUGCCGAGGGGCGGUUGGCCUCGUAAAAAGCCGCAAAAAAAUAGUCGCAAACGACGAAAACUACGCACUAGCAGCUUAAUAACCUGCUUAGAGCCCUCUCUCCCUAGCCUCCGCUCUUAGGACGGGGAUCA
rnacentral:sRNA from 1 species